rnacentral:rRNA from 1 species
UGGCGGACGGGUGAGUAAUGUCUGGGAAACUGCCCGAUGGAGGGGGAUAACUACUGGAAACGGUAGCUAAUACCGCAUAACGUCGCAAGACCAAAGAGGGGGACCUUAGGGCCUCUUGCCAUCGGAUGUGCCCAGAUGGGAUUAGCUAGUAGGUGGGGUAACGGCUCACCUAGGCGACGAUCCCUAGCUGGUCUGAGAGGAUGACCAGCCACACUGGAACUGAGACACGGUCCAA